CAGGAGAGAAAGUGGGCUGCGUUUUCUGCUUCUUUUUUGUUUUCGUUUUUUGGAGGAAGAGAAUAAGCUCGAUUAAAACAACCCCAACACCCAGAUCAAACGCCACCAGCCCCAGCCAUCCUCCGGCGACGCCCCAUCUCCACAAGCCCCGGCCAUCCUCCGGCGCCGCCCCGUCUCCACAAGCCCCGGCCAUCCUCGCCUCCCCCGUCCCCACCUUCCCUCCGACCCAGUUCCACCGCUCCCGAGGUCCAGCACCAGAUCGCUGCCGCCGUCCAAGACUCGCCGCCGGGAGGAACGUCGCAUCACAGACCAUGGCGACGCGGCCGGCUGGCUCGCCGGUGCCCGCGUGCAUCCAUGCGUGCGGCGCCGUCGAGCUGGCCGGACCGGGUCGCGUGGCGCUGCAUUCCGGCGAUGUGGCACCGGCCACCAGGACGCGCCGGCGGCGGCGAUGUGAGCCACGGAGGUCCGUCGUCCUUGACGCGCUGCGAGGAGCCACGGGAUGAUGUGGCUCCGGUGUUUGGUAGUCCCUGCCAGACCGCCGAUUCGAACAACCGCGGCUCACCGGACUUCCUCGACCGCUGAUGUCUUUGGAGGGGGCCGUGGUCGCGCCGGGUUUGUAAACCGGUUGGCCUAUCCACGUCUUGCAGGAGGUCGCCCCAAGACCACCGCUGCGAUCAUUUGGCCGCCAUUAAUGAAAGGCCAUAUUGAUUAAGAAACGGCACGAGAAGAAGGCAUACUGAGCCCUGUGUGCACUGGGGUUGGUCUUCAUGGCGAGGAGGACGAAGCCGAGGCAGCAGCGACUAGUUGUUGCUGCUGCUGCUGCUGUUGCUCUUGAUGGUCAGUAUGCAUGGAGUUCCUUUUGCUGUAAUUUUGUUGCUGGAAAAGUUCACCUGUGGAGUUUGGAAUUGUUUGUGCAUUAUGUACUCGAGCUGAAUUGAUUGUGUUUUUAGAUCGAGGCUGUGCUUAAUGCGUUUUUGUUUUUCAUUGUCUUCUGAAUGUCCUAGGAAGAGCAAAAGGACAUGUCUUGCGGACAUACUUGCUGAUUAGCCUUUGUUGAUGUUCAUCUACUUUGCCUUGGCAUUCGUUUUUGUGGAAUUUCUGUUUAUUUAGACCUUUCAUGGAAUUUCUGUUUUGUUA